AAAAAAAUGAUAUUAAAUGGCAACAGUAUUAUUCUAGCAUGUCUUUUUUAAUAUUUAAAUCUGUACCCGGUAUACCAGCAAAAAAGAAGACUGAGUCUCUGGAUUGUCAUUAAAUUUUUUUUUAAUACCUAUAUGUAUGAAUUUAUUUAUGUCAAAUUUAAUCACAGGAAAAAAAUGAUCAUGGAGAAUUUAAUGGUCUAGAAGACACUUUGGUACUGUAUACAAAGAAACAUCCACUACUGGGUAGUCAUGAUAAGAUGCACAACUACGGUCAAAAGUUUUUCUUUUUCGUCUAACAUUUAUUACAGUACCAGUGCUAUGAAUCUACUGCUGAGGAAAACCUAAACUGACAGACAAUGGUUAUGGAAUGUAGCAAAAUGUGUAGUAAAUUGUCAAUUCAUCUUGCUGAUGAAAAGGGGUGUGAAUUAUAUGCAAUUAUACUAUUUUUAACUGGUGAUUUGGUUGUAUUAUUAUAAUAUAUUUACAUAAAAAUGUAUUUUGGCGUAUUAGCAUCAGGAUAACACCCAGUAGAAAUGUUUUUUUGCUAAUGCUUUUUAUUCUGUGAUCAGAGCAACCUGCAAUAUUUUUUCA